GUGCCAUCUGAGCGAUGUGAUUUUAUGUCGUAGCGACAAUAUGACAAUAAUGUAUAGAGCGUAUGCAUUCAUUCCUCAGGGACCAACUUAACAAAAGCCAUGGCGGCCAUGUUGAUGUUCCAGACAAAAGAGUCUAAUUAAAAUUCUUUUGAAUUGGAACACCAACAUGGCGGCUGUGAUGUCAUGUGCUAACGCUUUAUUUUG